CGCCCGGCCUGGAGACGCCAAGGCCCAGUCCCGGUUCCCAGGCUGGGUUCCGAGUCUGCCACCCUCGUUCCUCUUCUGUAGAAACUCCCCGCCCCCGUCAGACAGGUGGGCUCUCGGCCACAGGCUCAGCUGAAAGAAGAGCAGGCAACUGACAACUGUUGUGUCCCCGACACAACUGGAGAUACUGCGCAUUCCUUACUUCAUUGACGUCGCAGGAAAGAAGAUCCCCGCAGCUCUGCACCUGGCCACGCCGCAUGCUCGCAAGAACCUCACAGGGCAAGUGUUGUGACCCCAUGCAAGGAAAAGGAAACUGGCUCCCAGGUGUUUAGCAUCUCGCUCAAGUUCUCACAUUUAAUCAGGGACCCCAGUUUAAAUCCUGCCCUCAGUCUCCGAGUGUUGCCACGUGUGCCGGGAGCCCACCCACUGAGCCGCGGACACCACUCACGAUCGCGUGGCCCCGCCCGGAGCAGAACCGCCUGUGGCCUUUCCAAGCCACCUGACACCCAGUGUUACGGUUUUUAGAACGUGGAUUUGCACGGGUGUCAGUGCUGCGUACCAAGUUGGAGUUCCGAGGACCAGGAGGGAAAACGA